UUUAUAGAAAUGGUUUAGCGUCGUCAGAAAAAGUCCGUUAGCAUCUCAAAGAAGUGCCAGAAAAAAACCUCUAUGACGCAGGAGAAGUUCCUGAUUUUAACAUUUCUGAAGGGGGCUGCUGACAGAGAGGAUGAAAACAUACACAUUUUGAUGUCCACGCUGUAGGAGCAUUACUAAAUAAUGCUUAUGUUCCUAGGUUCUUCCAUGCUGAUGGCUGUGCUCUAGUCAUAUCUCCUGUCGAAGAACAUUUUUAGACAUUAUGAACCAUGAAUAAGUUUAGCUCCAACCCCAGUUAAGCAGACCUGAGCAGCUGAUCAAGGAUCAGCAGAAACU